GGUGUCCCUGCCUGUGGCAGGGGGUGGGAUUAGAUGAGCUUUAGUGUCCCUUCCAACCCAAAGCAUUCCAUGAUUCAUUUUAUGAACCCUGCUUUCGCUCCUGGCUCCCUGCAGAGUGAGAUUUCCUCUCUUUUGGAAGGGUCAAGAUUUCAAGUCAAGGCCCUCAAUUCACUGACCUCUGUUUUGUCCAUCCAGCAGAAUUCCAGGCCGUGUGGUGGGGAGAUGAUUCGAGCUGUGGUUUUGGGAUGACAGCAGUGCCAAGGGGACGAAUGAUCUUUCUGUCAGUGCAGUGGAGGCCACUGUGCACUAUUGAUUUAUUUUUAUUUUUUUUUUGUUUGCUUAGCAGAAGACUCCAUUCAAAGCAGUGUUAAAAUACUCUUUAAAUAUUAAUGCUUUUUCCCACUGCUUUCCCUCUCUGCCCCCAUCUCUUGUUUUGCCUGUGCUGCUGGACAGCUGGAGGAUAUUCCCACCAAAUGAUUAGCAGGUCCAGGAUGGUGCAUAAAACACUCAGCAGUGCCCCUUUACCAGGCAAGCAACUUGACAUUUAUUGCUAGUGCUGAAAGCAUCUACAAACAGAGAUUUAGCAUCAGCCUCCAGGCUUAAGAUACAGCUGUUAUAUUUUCCUUUCUCCCUUUAUCUUUUUUUUUCCCUCUCCUUUUGCACUAAUGUAAUGCUUAUUUAGGAACUGCAGCCAUCUGUGGCUGCUGUGGAUGGCACUGUUAAAGUUGCUAUUGCUUUCUUUCCCCUGGUUUGAUGAGCCUCCCAGUGCACAGAGAAUUUCCCAGGACAGCAGAGACUUUCUUUGAUUGCUUUAUUUGUAUAAUUUUUUUUUUUUAUAACCGUUGAAAGAGAUGGUUCACAGUGCUGGGAAAAGGUGGUCAGCUGGAGAGCUAAGGAUCCUGCCUUGUGCUGGGUUAACAAGGUGAGUUUAUGAAGAACCAGCCAUAAAAAAACUUGGUGGAAUUAGAAGGGAUCAUGAAUAAAAAGGGAGGGAAGGAGGAAGGGCUGGGACUGGAGCUCUUCCUGUUCCUCCCACCAGCUCCUGGUUGAUGGUGAGAUGGAUCACGUGGGAAUUGGGGCAGUUGCAGCAAUCCAGGGAAUUUUUUUAGUGUUUUUUUUCCAGUGAAAUGAUCCUGUGCCCCUGGAUGGACAGGGAGCUGUCCCAAGCUGGAAAUCACGGCACAACAAGGACAAGGUGUGGCACUGCCAGCAGGAACUCAGAUAUUUCUGUUGGAGAGGCAGAAGUUGAUUCCUUCUUGUUUUGUCACCAAGUUGCUUUCAAAUGGCUCAUGUUCACCCUGGCGAGGAAAGCAGGGUAGGAAAUGCCUUCUCUGAAAGGCUGGACUGGCACUACUGGGGUGGAGAGCUGCAGCCUUUAGCAGAGUAAGCAGAUACCAGACUAUGAGGAUUCUUCUCCAUGGAGGAUUUCCAAGGCACCAGCCUCUGAAAUGCUCCUGGCUGCUGCUCUUCUUGGAGAGGAGUCAGUCCCUUGUCACCAGGGAGACAUCUGCCAACCUGAGCCCACAGAGGGAGGCUGAGGCAUUUAUGUCCUGGGGACCCUCCACUGCUGUCCUGCAUAUCCUCUGGGAUGGAACACAUGGUCCACGGCCUGGGAACAUCUGAGCAGACCCUCUGAGGAGGUUGGACUUGGUGACUUCGGUGUCCUGUGCUAACCCAGGAUCCUCCUGCUCCCACCAAAGCACCAGCAGCAGCGUUGCAGUGACCAGAGAGCAUCACAUCUGCAUUCACCUCUGCUCAGAGGACUUGGCUCGCUCCAUUUGACCUGCUGUGCCAUGUCCUCAGGCUUCCAGGAGGCUUCAAGGAGACUCUUUUCCCAAGGUAGUGGAACAGUGUCCAUGUGGAAACUCACUUUGCCCAUGGAAGUGCCCGAAGGCUUUCCAGGUGUGUUCACGUGGGAACAUUGACAUUUGGGAGCCAGGUAUGAUGGUGUGAUGUUCCAACAUGAAAAUGUUAUCAAGGAAAUUUGUUCCAGCAACUUUCCCCGGCAGGUUUUCUCAAGGUUCUUCCUCUUCUCUCCCAUUCUCCUGCAAAUGUCCUACACCACGUUUUCCAUUAAUUAUUAAAAAAAAAAUAAAUUACAAAA